rnacentral:rRNA from 1 species
UACGUAGGGUGCAAGCGUUGUCCGGAAUUAUUGGGCGUAAAGAGCUCGUAGGCGGUCUGUCGCGUCGGAUGUGAAAAUCCAGGGCUUAACCCUGGGCCUGCAUUCGAUACGGGCAGACUAGAGUUCGGUAGGGGAGACUGGAAUUCCUGGUGUAGCGGUGAAAUGCGCAGAUAUCAGGAGGAACACCGGUGGCGAAGGCGGGUCUCUGGGACGGUACUGACGCUGAGACGCGAAAGCGUGGGGAGCGAACAGG